rnacentral:rRNA from 1 species
GAAAUCAACCGAGAUUCCCCCAGUAGCGGCGAGCGAACGGGGAGCAGCCCAGAGCCUGAAUCAGUAUGUGUGUUAGUGGAAGCGUCUGGAAAGGCGCGCGAUACAGGGUGACAGCCCCGUACACAAAAAUGCACAUGCUGUGAGCUCGAUGAGUAGGGCGGGACACGUGGUAUCCUGUCUGAAUAUGGGGGGACCAUCCUCCAAGGCUAAAUACUCCUGACUGACCGAUAGUGAACCAGUACCGUGAGGGAAAGGCGAAAAGAACCCCGGCGAGGGGAGUGAAAAAGAACCUGAAACCGUGUACGUACAAGCAGUGGGAGCACGCUUAGGCGUGUGACUGCGUACCUUUUGUAUAAUGGGUCAGCGACUUAUAUUCUGUAGCAAGGUUAACCGAAUAGGGGAGCCGAAGGGAAACCGAGUCUUAACUGGGCGUUAAGUUGCAGGGUAUAGACCCGAAACCCGGUGAUCUAGCCAUGGGCAGGUUGAAGGUUGGGUAACACUAACUGGAGGACCGAACCGACUAAUGUUGAAAAAUUAGCGGAUGACUUGUGGCUGGGGGUGAAAGGCCAAUCAAACCGGGAGAUAGCUGGUUCUCCCCGAAAGCUAUUUAGGUAGCGCCUCGUGAAUUCAUCUCCGGGGGUAGAGCACUGUUUCGGCAAGGGGGUCAUCCCGACUUACCAACCCGAUGCAAACUGCGAAUACCGGAGAAUGUUAUCACGGGAGACACACGGCGGGUGCUAACGUCCGUCGUGAAGAGGGAAACAACCCAGACCGCCAGCUAAGGUCCCAAAGUCAUGGUUAAGUGGGAAACGAUGUGGGAAGGCCCAGACAGCCAGGAUGUUGGCUUAGAAGCAGCCAUCAUUUAAAGAAAGCGUAAUAGCUCACUGGUCGAGUCGGCCUGCGCGGAAGAUGUAACGGGGCUAAACCAUGCACCGAAGCUGCGGCAGCGACGCUGAUGCGUUGUUGGGUAGGGGAGCGUUCUGUAAGCCUGUGAAGGUGUGCUGUGAGGCAUGCUGGAGGUAUCAGAAGUGCGAAUGCUGACAUAAGUAACGAUAAAGCGGGUGAAAAGCCCGCUCGCCGGAAGACCAAGGGUUCCUGUCCAACGUUAAUCGGGGCAGGGUGAGUCGACCCCUAAGGCGAGGCCGAAAGGCGUAGUCGAUGGGAAACAGGUUAAUAUUCCUGUACUUGGUGUUACUGCGAAGGGGGGACGGAGAAGGCUAUGUUGGCCGGGCGACGGUUGUCCCGGUUUAAGCGUGUAGGCUGGUUUU